UGUUUUCUCCUGCCAGAGUCAACUAGAGAGUCAGAUCUGGUACCCACUCAUUCGUUGGUUCAUUCAUUCAUUCAUUCAUUCACUCAUGCAUGCAUGCAUUCAACCAUGAAGGGUUACUAGUACUGCCUUAGUGCAGGAUUCCGGACACAGCUUUGCAGAAGACACGGCUUUGUCCCCAGGGGCUCGCAGGGUGCCAGUAAGGAGACUAACGUGUCCACAGACUUUGCAAUAAUGAAUUGAGUGUUACACUAAGGAACCAUUUGAGGCUGGGGACACGAGGAAAUGCUUGAGAGUGUGUGUGGGGGAGACAAUGUGAAUCUUCCUCACAGGGGAGAGAUCGAGGGUUACCUGGGAGGACACACUGUGCCAAAAGAAGAAGGUUCGUGCCACAGAAAACUGCCAGGUGCCAAGCGCCAAGCCAGCGAGACAUGACAACACACACAGACCGGAAGUGCCUCUCUGAGGUCUGAGUCCCACUGCACAGGAAGUGCAUCUCAUCUCCAGAGCAAUCCUGAACCUUGGAGGCAGCGGCAGAGGUGAGGCAGCCAGCACUGGCGAGGCCGAUGGAGCCUCGUGUGAAGAGACGCGCCUGCUCCGCAGCUUGAGGACCAGAGUCCAAUCCCCAGGACCCGUGUGAAAAUCUUUUUGGAGGCAGCCAGCACUGGCAAGGCCGACGGCGCCGCGUGUGAAGAGACGCUCCUGCUACGCAGCUUGAGGACCAGAGUCCAACCCCCAGGACCCGUGUGAAAAUCUGGGGGUGUGAAGUGCAUGUCUGUCCUCACUGUGGAGGGGCAGAGAAAGGACAAUUUCAGAGAUUUGUUGGCCAGCCUUUCUGGCUGAAAUGGCAAGUUCCGGUCUCUCUCUCUCUCUCUCUCUCUCUCUCUCUCUCUCUCUCUCUCUCUCUCUCUCUCUCUCUCUCUCUCUCUCACACACACCUAAAAAUACAAGCAGAACUCCCACACCACUAGGCUUUCUAGCCCUUUCAGGAGCCCAGGGAGGACACACAGUGUACAAGCAGAGGUACAAAGAACACCCAUCUCACGCAACCAUAAGGAAACAACAGAUAACACAACCCAGACUUGAACCGUUUCCCCACACCAGGCGUGUGCCCACAAGUCACGGAACACUUGCCCCCCCUCCAGUCUUCCAGGGCCUCUGAGACUCGGUUUCUCCGAUUGAAAGGAUGACUAAUACGAAGGCUGGGAAACCAUAGCAACCGUGAAGGGGCAGAGCUUCCCACUCAUGUCACCUCCGUGGCCUGCCACGCUGCCUGUCACUUCUCAGUGCUAGCUCAUCCCUUGGCAUCUUACUGACCAUGCUGGGCCAUUUCUCUGACUCCCUACUGAAAACGCCCGAUCUCAAGAAUCUCGUCAUUUCAACAGGAGAAAACAUGGAUUUUUCUCGUUAUAAGAGUGCUAUCUGUUCCUUCCAAGCAAAAUUACAAGCUGCAGAACCCAUUCAGAAGAGUGGGGGAAUCUUUCAUUAUUCUACCACCCACGGCGUUCACAUGUGCUAUAUUUAGAAACCAAAUGAUAGUCGCAAUUUUUUCAACUCAGUGCAUACGAAUGAAGCCGCACAAAGCCAGAUGGAGUUGUCUUUUGACUUUGCUUGCCAGCUCUGCCCCUCAGAACUUCCCAAAUUAUUUCAAGGAGCCCCAGGGCAGAGAGCCUCUUAUGAGUUCACAAUAGUGCCCUUGUCCUCUGCCAUCCUGUGUGUGUCUACAGUGCUGUGCCCUGUUUAGGAAGCAGAUACCAGACAGGGGCCACCUUAGUUGCUGCUGUCCCUGUCAGUACCCACUGAGGAAGUGUUGACAAUCGGGUCAAGAGCUUGUCUUCUUACGCCCCACCAAAAACAAAAGACAUCUUGUAUUUCCACAGCUUCCUCUAGGACACUGGUUCUUAACCUCUGUAAUGCUGCGACCCUUUAAUACAGUUCCUCAAGUUGUGGUGACCCCCCAACCAUAAAAUUAUCUCAUUGCUACUUCA